AUUGAACGCUGGCGGCAUGCCUUACACAUGCAAGUCGAACGGCAGCACGGGUGCUUGCACCUGGUGGCGAGUGGCGAACGGGUGAGUAAUACAUCGGAACAUGUCCUGUAGAGGGGGAUAGCCCGGCGAAAGCCGGAUUAAUACCGCAUACGAUCUACGGAUGAAAGCGGGGGACCUUCGGGCCUCGCGCUAUAGGGUUGGCCGAUGGCUGAUUAGCUAGUUGGUGGGGUAAAGGCCUACCAAGGCGACGAUCAGUAGCUGGUCUGAGAGGACGACCAGCCACACUGGGACUGAGACACGGCCCAGACUCCUACGGGAGGCAGCAGUGGGGAAUUUUGGACAAUGGGCGAAAGCCUGAUCCAGCAAUGCCGCGUGUGUGAAGAAGGCCUUCGGGUUGUAAAGCACUUUUGUCCGGAAAGAAAUCCUUGGCCCUAAUACGGUCGGGGGAUGACGGUACCGGAAGAAUAAGCACCGGCUAACUACGUG
rnacentral:rRNA from 1 species